GAUGAACGCUGGCGGCGUGCCUAAUACAUGCAAGUCGAGCGAACGGACGAGAAGCUUGCUUCUCUGAUGUUAGCGGCGGACGGGUGAGUAACACGUGGAUAACCUACCUAUAAGACUGGGAUAACUUCGGGAAACCGGAGCUAAUACCGGAUAAUAUUUUGAACCGCAUGGUUCAAAAGUGAAAGACGGUCUUGCUGUCACUUAUAGAUGGAUCCGCGCUGCAUUAGCUAGUUGGUAAGGUAACGGCUUACCAAGGCAACGAUGCAUAGCCGACCUGAGAGGGUGAUCGGCGCCACUGGAACUGAGACACGGUACUGACUCCUACGGGAGGCAGCAGUAGGGAAUCUUGCGCAAUGGGCGAAAGCCUGACGGAGCAACGCCGCGUGAGUGAUGAAGGUCUUCGGAUCGUAAGACUCUGUUAUUAGGGAAGAACAUAUGUGUAAGUAACUGUGCACAUCUUGACGGUACCUAAUCAGAAAGCCGCGGCUAACUACGUG
rnacentral:rRNA from 1 species